rnacentral:lncRNA from 10 species
CUGUUUGAUAUUCCAUUUUAUCAAUAUGUUAUUAUUUACCUAAGCAGUCCAUCAUUGAUGAAUGAGUUGUAAUGUUCCCUGAUGUAGAAAAUUCCUAAUUAUUAUGCUGAAAUGAACAUCUUUGUUCAUUUGGGCACUUACGUAAAUACUCUUAAAAAGUAAAGUUCUAAGACAAAAUAUAUCAAUAAGGUUUUUUUAAAUUUUUUUAUUAUUAUUAUUUUUUAUGAGACAGGGUCUUGCUCUGUCACCCAGGCUGGAGUGCAGUGGUGCAGUCAUGGCUCAUGGCAGCCUCAACCUCCUGGGCUCAAGCCAUCCUCUUACCUCAGCCUCUUGAGUAGCUGGGACCACAGGCACAAGCCACCAUAUCCAGCCAAGAUUAUGUUUUUAUUUUCAUUUCUUUUUUUAUGUUUACUAGAUGUUUAUAAUUCCUUUGUUAAUUGCCUAUUAAUGUAUUUUCUCCAUUUAUUUCAGUUUUAUUUUUCCCAUUGGAUCAUUAGCCUUGUUUGUGUACAUAUUGCUUUGUUAUUUGUUUAUAGAUUUUGAUUUUUUUUUCUCUUUGGCUUCACAUUUGGAGUCAUUCUGAAAAGAAUCUUUGCUUUUCAAAAUUAAAAAUAUAUGUAUACAUUUUCUCUGAUACUUCUAUUUUUUCUUUUUUCUUUUCUUUCUUUUUUUUUUGUUUUUUUUUUAUUGAGACGGAGUCUUGCUCUGUCGCCCAGGCUGGAGUGCAGUGGCGUGAUCUCAGCUCACUGCAACCUCUGCCUCCCGAGUUCAAGCAGUUCUCUGCCUCAGCCUCCUGAGUAGCUGGGAUUACAGGCGCCCGCCACCACGCCCAGCUAAUUUUUUUCUAUUUUUAGUAGAGACGGGGUUUCAUCAUGUUGGCCAGACUGGUCUUGAACUCCUGACCUUGUGAUCCACCCGCCUCGGCCUCCCAAAGUGCUGGGAUUACAGGCAUGAGCCGCCGUGCCCUGCCUAUUUUUUCUUCAUUUUCCAUUUACGUCUUUUGAUCCAACUGGAAUUUAUUUCAUCUUGGGAGUAAGGUACAGAAUCUAGCUUUACUUUUAAAAAAAUUAAUAGUUAUUAUUCUGUGUAAACUUGGACAAACAUACAACCCAAAAAACAAAUAAGAAUGAGGCCCUCGUGGAUUGAGUUAGGGAUAAUUGACAUUUUUCACAAUAUUGAAGCUUAUUCAGGGACACAGGUUCUCCCCAUCUUCAUUCCUCAAGUCCUCCCGUGUACGCGGCACCUCCAGCCUCCUAGGUGGCUGCUCAGGCGGGAAGCCUUAGAUUCCUCUCUUCGCUUCAUACUCAGUCCUUGGAACAGGUCUUAGAAAUAUGUUCCACAGUCCAGGCGCGGUGGCUCACACCUGUAAUCCCAGCACUUUGGGAGGCCGAGGCGGGCGGAUCACCUGAGGUCAGAAGUUCGAGACCAGCCUGGUCAACAUGGUGAAACCCUGUCUCUAAUAAAAAUACAAAAAUUAACCGGGCGUGGUGGCGGGUGCCUGUAGUCCUGAGAAUAGCUUGAACACGGAAGGCACAUGUUGCAGUGAGCCGAGAUUGUGCCACUGCACUCCAGCCUGAAUGACAGAGCAACACUCCGUCUCAGAAAAAUAAAGAGAACAAAAAAAGAAAUA